rnacentral:misc_RNA from 1 species
UAAUACCUCAUCUAACUGCUUGCUUAUAAAUGUCUUAUAGGGAUCAAGGGCAUGCUUUUCAAGUCUAAGAUCUUCCUCUAGAAGUCGACGAAGUCCAGCCAUUGUAAUUUUCUCAGAAUUAUCUUUGACAUAGGAAGCUCUCUUCAACAAGGCUUUCUUUAUGCUGCUCUCACUUGGAACUUCUUUAUUCUUAUCAACUAGAGUUUCCUCAGCUUCUGAUUUAGGUGUUUUUUUCCCUGUCAAAAGGCCCAUUACGGGAGAGUCUUCGAUUUUCUCCUCAUCUUCGGAAUAAGGUUCUUUAAUAUCAUUUUUAGAUUCAUAUCCUUCAGGCGAUUCCGUUGCUUCUCUUUUUGUUGAACGGGCGUGUUUUUCCACAGUUUCCCCAGAAUCCUUGGAAGCAUUGCCAUCAACAGCACCUUCUAAGCACUGCACCAGACAUUGCUUGACAAAUCUCUUAUGCACAUCCAAAACAUAUUUCUGCAACCCCAAGUCCUUCUCCAACAGUCUCCUGACCCCCUCAAAGGUCAAAGAAUCGGCUUGUUCUUU